UGCCCAAGACUCUGACUGAGAUGUACACACACCUUGUGGUGUUUCAUACCAAACAGAAGAAUGAAAAGUAUCUUGGGAAAGAAGAGACAGGUCCAGACUGGAAUAAAGAGAGCAUUCUGUCACUGGGAAAACUGGCUUUUCAACAGCUUGUGAAGGGCAAUCUGAUUUUCUAUGAAGAAGACCUGAAAGAGGCUGGCAUUGAUGUCAAUGAAGCCUCAGUGUACUCAGGAUUGUGCACACAGAUCUUUAAAGAGGAAUGUGGGCUGUACCAGGACAAGGUGUACUGCUUCGUGCAUCUGAGCAUUCAGGAGUUUCUGGCUGCUGUAUAUGUGUUCCUUUCAUUCAGCAACAACAAUGAGAAUCUAAUGGCCGAACCUCAAACAACAUCCAGGAACUUUUAUGUGAGGAUCAAACAGAAAAUUAAAGUCACCGUCUACAAGAGUGCUGUGGAUGAAGCCUUACAAAGUGAGACAGGAAACCUGGACCUUUUCCUCCGCUUCCUUCUGGGCCUCUCACUGGAGUCCAAUCAGAAGCACUUACGAGGUCUACUGACAAAGACAAGAAGCAGCUCACAGAGCCAUGAAGAAACAGUCAAGUACAUCAAGGAGAAGAUCAGUGAGAAUCCUCUCCAGAGAGGUGCAUCAAUCUGUUCCACUGUCUGAAUGAACUGAAUGACCAUUCUCUAGUGGAGGAGAUCCAAAGCUACCUGAGAUCAGGAAGUGUCUCCAGUGAUGAACUCUCACCUGCACAGUGGUCAGCUCUGGUCUUUGUGUUGCUGACUUCAGAAAAGGAGCUGGAUGUGUUUGACCUGAAGAAAUACUCCAGAUCAGAGGAAGGUCUUCUGAGGCUGCUGCCAGUGGUCAAAGUCUCCAGAGCUGCUCUGCUGUCAGGCUGUGGAGUCACAGAGGAUGGCUGUGCUUCUCUGGUCUCAGCUCUGAAGUCAAACCCCUCAAACCUGAGAGAGCUGGAUCUGAGUAACAAUGACCUGAAGGAUUCAGGAGUGAAGCUGCUCUCUGCUGGACUGGGGAAUCCCCACUGUAAACUGGAGACUCUGAGGCUGUCAGGCUGUCAAGUCACAGAGGAAGGCUGUGCUUCUCUGGUCUCAGCUCUGAAGGCAAAUCCAUCACACCUGAGAGAGCUGGAUCUGAGUAACAAUGACCUGAAGGAUUCAGGAGUGAAGCUGCUCUCUGCUGGA